UACGGAGGGGACUAGCGUUGUUCGGAAUUACUGGGCGUAAAGCGCACGUAGGCGGAUUGUUUAGUCAGGGGUGAAAUCCCGAGGCUCAACCUCGGAACUGCCUUUGAUACUGGCAAUCUCGAGUCCGGAAGAGGUGAGUGGAAUUCCUAGUGUAGAGGUGAAAUUCGUAGAUAUUAGGAAGAGCACCAGUGGCGAAGGCGGCUCACUGGUCCGGUACUGACGCUGAGGUGCGAAAGCGUGGGGAGCAAACAGG
rnacentral:rRNA from 1 species